CCAAGCUCAUCAGCCUCCAGUAAGCCUCCUGCCCUCCCCAGACCGGUCACUCCUCCCUCUCUCACGAGGUCUCACCUCCAACCUGAUUCUCCACACCCGAACCUCGCUUCUCUGCCGAAUACUGCUAGACUUCCUAGCAGCUCCUUCUGUUCUCCUUUUCUAAUAAAUUAUUGUUUGCGAUCUUC